AUGAUGGGAGGUCCAGCCUGCCCAAUGAUACAUUGAAUGGCCGCGGUACUCUUACCGUGCGAAGGUAGCAUAAUCACUUGUUCAUUAAAUGUGGACUAGUAUGAACGGCAUCACGAGGGUCAUACUGUCUCCCUACUCCAAUCAAUGAAACUAUUUUUCCCGUGAAGAAACGGGAAUUAAACUAUAAGACGAGAAGACCCCAUGGAGCUUUAAACCCAGAACAUCUACCACCCACCCCCAUUUUUACCUAGCUAAAGUAUUCAUGUUUUCUGGUUUUCGGUUGGGGCGACCACGGAGCAAAAAAAAUCCUCCACGAUGAACAAGCUUUACUUUUACCCAUGAAGCACACUUCUAAGGAUCCUUAAUAUGACAUUUCUUGACCCAAGCCUACUUGAUCAACGAACCUAGUUACCCUGGGGAUAACAGCGCAAUCCAUUUCAAGAGCCCAUAUCGACAAAUGGGUUUACGACCUCGAUGUUGGAUCAGGGUAUCCCAGUGGUGCACCCGCUACUAAAGGUUUGUUUGUUCAACAAUUAAUAACCCU
rnacentral:rRNA from 1 species